UGAGUUAGUGGCGGACGGGUGAGUAACGCGUGGAAAACCUGCCGUAUACUGGGGGAUAACACUUAGAAAUAGGUGCUAAUACCGCAUAAGCGCACAGCUUCGCGUGAAGCGGUGUGAAAAACUCUGGUGGUAUACGGUGGUUCCGCGUCUGAUUAGCUAGUUGGUGGGGUAAUGGCCUACCAAGGCAACGAUCAGUAGCCGGCCUGAGAGGGUGAACGGCCACAUUGGGACUGAGACACGGCCCAAACUCCUACGGAAGGCAGCAG
rnacentral:rRNA from 1 species